GACGAACGCUGGCGGUGUGCUUAACACAUGCAAGUCGAACGGUAAGGCCCUUUCGGGGGUACACGAGUGGCGAACGGGUGAGUAACACGUGAGUAACCUGCCCUCAUCUCUGGGAUAACAGUCGGAAACGGUUGCUAAUACUGGAUAUGAGCUUGCAAGGCAUCUUGUGGGUUGGAAAGAUUUUUUUGGUUGGGGAUGGACUCGCGGCCUAUCAGCUUGUUGGUGAGGUAGUGGCUCACCAAGGCUUCGACGGGUAGCCGGCCUGAGAGGGCGACCGGCCACAUUGGGACUGAGAUACGGCCCAAACUCCUACGGGAGGCAGCAGUGGGGAAUAUUGCACAAUGGACGGAAGUCUGAUGCAGCAACGCCGCGUGCGGGAUGACGGCCUUCGGGUUGUAAACCGCUUUCAAUUGUGACGAAGCUUUUUGUGACGGUAGCAGUAGAAGUAGCACCGGCUAACUACGUG
rnacentral:rRNA from 1 species